rnacentral:rRNA from 1 species
UACAGAGGGUGCGAGCGUUGUCCGGAUUUAUUGGGCGUAAAGAGCUCGUAGGCGGCUUAGCAAGUCGGGUGUGAAAACUCCAGGCUCAACCUGGAGACGCCACUCGAGACUGCUAUGGCUAGAGUCCGGUAGGGGACCACGGAAUUCCUGGUGUAGCGGUGAAAUGCGCAGAUAUCAGGAGGAACACCGGUGGCGAAGGCGGUGGUCUGGGCCGGCACUGACGCUGAGGAGCGAAAGCGUGGGGAGCAAACAGG